rnacentral:lncRNA from 1 species
UACGGACUCUAUUAUUUAAUAUCAUUCAUCAGAAUAUUAAUUUAAAUAAAUAAUAGAUCUUGCUAAAAAUAAAUGUAUUAAAUAUAUUAAAAGUGUUUACAAUCUAAAUCGGUUGGACCUAGAGCAUAAUACUUACAACAAAUACAAUCACUAAUGACGUAUAUUUCUUUCAGAUUUCCUUCAAUCGCAUUGAGUGUUAUUCUCCACUCUAUGAUGAGAACUAUGCUCACACACCCCAUCUGCACUACAUCUUGCUGAUUAUAGUGCCCCCUUGGUUCAACAAAAACCUAUAUAUUUGAGUGAAUGGAAGAUUUAUUUGUGUCUAAACAAGAUAUGUUUCCAAAAUUCUAAGCCGAUAAUUUGCCCUUGAUUGUUUCCACCUUCAUAUUAUUGGUAUAUAUCCUCAUUGAUUAUUUUAUUCAUUUUAAUUUGUUAGAAUCCAUCUUAAAUCUUCAGUUUUACUAGGUUCAUCUUAUGAACAUUUUUGCCCUCAGCGAUCCAUUACUCAUUACUAGAAAACAUAGUUUGCCCAAUGGUCAUUCCAUGUGAUCUCAUUUUAACUUGGAAGGUAUCUUUUGAUCAUGCAGAAUUUUUGUGACCUUCUCUACCUUUUCUGACUGAUGCAAGGUUUAUGAAUUAUAUAAUCAAAUCUAUGUUGCUCAAUCCAUUAUAAAUACCAAAAAGAAUCACCAUUUGGGAAAAGAGGUGCUUUAUUUGGAGACUUCAUCCUUAUUCCUGCUAUUAACCAUAAGGACAUUCCUUGUAUUACAUCUUAAUUCUACUUAACCUAAAGACCUUAGAUUCCAUAGUUAUAUUGAACUUUAUACUAUCUGCCCAUGUUGAAAUUCAAACUUCGGGAGAAGUAGAAUGCUGUUCCUUUUAAAAUGUACUUAGGAAAUGGAAGCAUAGAAAUUGGGUAAAGUAUUGCAAAAUUUGAGUN